UAGUGUUGAGUUUCUCCUAAAAGUUGCUUUAUGUUUCCAAAUCAAAGAUAUUUUUUCUUAAGUGAUACAACUGCGCUUAUGUAUCUGCAGUUAACACCCAAAAGAGCAAAAUUAUAUUUUAUGUGCUAAUGCACACUCAAUGUAAUGUCAUUAAAACAACUAGUUUAUGAAUGUUACUUAAGAUCUUUCCUGUGGCGUUUCUACAACAUGGCGUUCGCUUCCUCGCCCGCGUUUUUUGACUGAACUUUGACACAGGCUGUUCUUCAGCUAGGGCUCAAUUAACAAACUUCAAUCUCACAUAAAAAUAACUCUAGGACUUAAACAUCAAAAUGCAUCGAUGUUAAACCGAAUGUAUACUCAGUAACCUACAUUUGUUUAGUCAUGAAUGUAAAACGGCCCAGCCUUUUGCUGGUCAAACCUUCAUCAACGCUGCAACGAUUUCAAAGUAGAAAGAAGAAAAACGUGUAUUACCCUGUCUUUGCAGAGUUAAAACUACUGCUACAGAAGCUCAGUGUCAAUUAACACCAUUUGGCUGCCACCGUAAAACAAAACUUAACAAAGACUAAUGUUACGGUCGAAUUACUUCACAAGUUAGCCAGAAGUGUAACGUUACUAGCUUAUCACCACCACUCGCCGAGGAAGAGUUUAGUGUUGUGUAAAAAGGAUUUCUUGCAGUGCGUGUUGAUAGAGUUAAAGUUAGAGUUAUUAGCUGCUGUGAAUAAAACAAGGCAAAAAAUUGUACUCGCCACAAAGCUUUAACGUUUGAUAACAUUCCGUACAAAAUGGCGCUUCUCCGCUUUCUCUCUUUGCCUCCGUUUCUUUCGAUCAGUGGUCUGAGAGCACAACAUGUCCGGGCAAGUCAGCCUUGUACUCAGCUUUUAAAGGACGCUUACGAGAUUUUUAAGUUGUAUUAACUGAAUACACUUUCAUGUUAAGUUAACACAGAAAUGUCUGUUCAAAAUCGAUAUAUUACUGAGCUAAGACUGUUUUCUUUAUUUUCAUUUCGACCAACUCAUUAAAUUAAGUUAUCAACUGAUUACAAUGUGUACAUGCAACAAACUUAAUUUUUUAUGCAGAAAAAGCUAUUAAUUUUAAGCUUUACUUACUAACCCCAUGAAUCAUUUUUUAGAGUGUAUGGACUGUUAACAGGAGGUGAGAUUACUGAAUAUGGCAGGGAUGGAGAAGAGAUCAAAGACGACCAUGUCCCAUCAAUACUUCCCAACAGUGAUGAACAGAAACAACUGAAACUACAGCGUCUGCAUAAGGCUCCUGAGCGUUUACGUCGCAGGGUGUUUGAGGAAGCUCUGAAGGUUCAGACUUCAGACUUAGAAAACAUCCCCGACCAGCUGAAGCUGCCAGUCUGUGUGACUGUUUUCUGGUUUAAGAAGCUACAACACCACCCAAAGCCUGAAACUGUAAACUGCCUCCAUGCUCUCCUGCUGGGGUUUGUGUGUGAGCCCGAUGGUCCAGAGGACGAGUUUGAGAGGAAGAUGAAAGCUUUAAAGGAUGAAGGUGUGAGUAACUGGCAGCCACGUGUGGCUCAUGCUUUCAGCCAAUGGCAGUGCUGCAUGAGGCAGAGCCUCCACCUGAACCAGCUGCUGUGUUCACCUGUUAGGAGAAAACCCUGCAAAAUAAACCCAGGAGGAAUAAAGACACAAUGAGACAAAGUUACUUUUUUAUGCUUAACGUGUACACGGGUGAGCUGCUGAAAACAACCCACACCCAUGGACAGUGGCUUGGCAUUUUUAUAGGCACAAAUCACAGAGACAGUGAGAACAGGAUAAGAAAAUAAUAAACAGAUAAAAUAAACAACU